rnacentral:rRNA from 1 species
AGUCAAUAGAUACCCGGGUAGUCCACGCCGUAAACGAUGAGUACUAGGUGUAGGAGGUAUCGACUCCUUCUGUGCCGCAGUUAAACACAAUAAGUACUCCGCCUGGGAAGUACGGUCGCAAGAUUAAAACUCAAAGGAAUUGACGGGGGCCCGGCACAAGCAGCGGAGCAUGUGGUUUAAUUUCGAAGCAACGCGAAGAACCUUACCUAGACUUGACAUCUCCUGAAUAGUGUAGAGAUACAUGAAGCCCUUCGGGGUCGAGGAAGACAGGUGGUGCAUGGUUGUCGUCAGCUCGUGUCGUGAGAUGUUGGGUUAAGUCCCGCAACGAGCGCAACCCUUAUUACUAGUUGCUACCAUUAAGUUGAGCACUCUAGUGAGACUGCCC